rnacentral:rRNA from 1 species
AUUGAACGCUGGCGGCAUGCUUUACACAUGGAAGUCGAACGGUAACAGGCCUUCGGGUGCUGACGAGUGGCGAACGGGUGAGUAAUGCAUCGGAACGUACCCAGAGGUGGGGGAUAACGCAGCGAAAGCUGUGCUAAUACCGCAUGUGAUCUGAGGAUGAAAGCGGGGGACCGAGCAGCAAUGUUUGGCCUCGCGCCUUUGGAGCGGCCGAUGUCGGAUUAGCUAGUUGGUGGGGUAAAGGCCUACCAAGGCGACGAUCCGUAGCUGGUCUGAGAGGACGACCAGCCACACUGGGACUGAGACACGGCCCAGACUCCUACGGGAGGCAGCAGUGGGGAAUUUUGGACAAUGGGCGCAAGCCUGAUCCAGCAAUGCCGCGUGCGGGAAGAAGGCCUUCGGGUUGUAAACCGCUUUUGGCAGGAACGAAACGGUGUCCGCUAAUACCGGGCGCUAAUGACGGUACCUGCAGAAUAAGCACCGGCUAACUACGUG